CUACAUUCUUCAAUUCUAACUAUUUCUAUUCAGUUUCCAGGUAUCUGUGCUUUUUUUUUUUUUUUUUUUUUUUUUUUAACUGAAAAUUUGUCUGCAUCGACAAAUAAUCGAAACUUACUACCAUCUUUCUCUCUCUCUCUCUCUGUGUGUAUGUGUGCACGUGGGCGGUGAAGGGACCUCAGUUCAUUCACACAGGCAAUCUAAGAGUUAUCAGCUUCAAGGACGAGCAAAUAAAAGCCACCCUGCCAGUCCGGGGACAUUUUAUCAAGCCCUCCUACCCUCAAUCUGGUCACAAACAAACCAAAAGCCAACUUUUCUCCUGUAGCUCCUUAUAAACGCUUUCACUCACUUUAAAAAAAAAAAUCACAGACUUGGAUGGGACAGCCCUGAACCCAAAUGCACCACGGAUCACUUCACGAACCUGCAGCUGCGGACGCUCUACUGGACUUAAAACUGGCAUUAACAAAGAGACACUGGCACGAGAAGGAAGACCGAGAGUAGAAGAGAAAAAGAGUAGCUGCAGGGAAAAGUGCAACUAUUGAGUAUGAAUGAAUCUGGAAAGACCUUUUGAAAAUUAAGGUGAGUAGGCAUUUCCCUCCUAUAGGUCUGAAGCAUUUAAUGUUUGAAUGAACAGUUUAAAUUGUAAAGAGCUCUGAUGGACCCUCGCCUGUGCCGAUUCAGCUCAGAUGUGUUUAACAUUAAAAGUAGACUGAAAACUCAUUCAAGCUCAUUUGGCAUACAGCCUGACCCAGUCUUUAAUUUCAUCAUUUUAAAGAAGUUAAGGUAAACUUGGUAAUUGAGUCUCACAUGGGUCUUUCUUUGUCUCCUUCACACACACAGGUGCACACAGCUGCAGUCAUCCCCACAAUCAGUUAGGAAAAAAAAGACUAGACUGGACUUUGGACAUACUGGAUAAGCCUAGAAUAUUUACAUGACACUAUGGCUUUUUUUUUUUUUCUUUUCCUUCAAAAUCUGUUAUUGUCUGUUUUUACUGCUUUAAAAAAAAAAAAAAAAAAUUGGCCAAGUAUAAACUGCACAAUUUAUUUAAUCUGGAUUUUUCUUUCCUGAUUUUACACUUUUCCCCCGUUUUGUUUCACCAGGUCACCCAUCCACCACUUUGCACCAACAGCGCCUCUGUCUGCAGAAAACCUUGUCCUCCAGAGCUGUGGAGUGUGACAAUGGUGUUUGUUUCCUCUCCGUCAAACGCCAUUAUCACACUAAAUAGCUACAGUGUGAAAAGCACCUCGGCGCAUUCCUUCACUUUUGGGUUUAAGUGUUUUGUUUUUUGUUUUUUAAAUAAAUCCUCCUGUUUUAAAUUUGUUGUUCACACUGUAAAGCAAGACUGUAUGUCAGCUGUGCCAAUGGCUCUGUGCACACUACACCAGAGCAGGAGAUGGAAAUAGACAUUUGGUGUGUUUAUGCAUCGUAUGUGAUGCUGAGCCUCUGAGUGUGGCCUACUUUCUUUUUGGAUUCAAGGUGCUAAUUUGCUGCUAGAGACCUUAAAACAGGCCUUGGUUUACUACUACUGCUGAUGCCAGAUUUGUAAAUGUAACGCCUAUUGCACAUUUGUCUCUCUGUUUACCAUAAAUAAAGUGCUUUUGAUUUGUUGCUGACAGAGGUUCACAUUUCACGGACGCCUUCAAGACCAAGCGGAGAACAAACAUACGCAGGAAUUUGUAUUCCUUCUAGUAAUGUUGACUCACCGUCUUUCACCUGUCCUACCACGCACAUGCGAAAGAAAUCAAACAUUUGCAA